rnacentral:misc_RNA from 1 species
GAAAUGCGAUAAGUAAUGUGAAUUGCAGAAUUCAGUGAAUCAUCGAAUCUUUGAACGCACAUUGCGCCCGCCAGCACUCUGGCGGGCAUGCCUGUUCGAGCGUCAUUUCAACCCUCAGAACCCCUUGCGGGAUCUGGCGUUGGGGAUUGGCAUCCAGCCAGCCCCGAAAUCUAGUGGCGGUCCCUCCGCGACCUCCCCUGUGCAGUAGCGAUACCUCGCAGCGGGACAGCGGUCUGACCACGCCGUAAAACCCCCAACUUCUCAAGGUUGACCUCGAAUCAGGAAGGAAUACCCGGUGAACAUGAGC